rnacentral:tRNA from 1 species
AAUUAAUGAACUUGAAUAAGUUUAUGUUUUGAAAACAUAAUAAAGAAGUGGAAUCUUCUAUUAAUUU